rnacentral:piRNA from 1 species
GGUAAAGAUGACUAGAAUGCCCUAUGAAAAC